rnacentral:rRNA from 1 species
AUUGAACGCUGGCGGCAUGCCUUACACAUGCAAGUCGAACGGCAGCACGGGUGCUUGCACCUGGUAGCGAGUGGCGAACGGGUGAGUAAUACAUCGGAACAUGUCCUGUAGUGGGGGAUAGCCCGGCGAAAGCCGGAUUAAUACCGCAUACGAUCCACGGAUGAAAGCGGGGGACCUUCGGGCCUCGCGCUAUAGGGUUGGCCGAUGGCUGAUUAGCUAGUUGGUGGGGUAAAGGCCUACCAAGGCGACGAUCAGUAGCUGGUCUGAGAGGACGACCAGCCACACUGGGACUGAGACACGGCCCAUACUCCUACGGGAGGCAGCAGUGGGGAAUUUUGGACAAUGGGCGAAAGCCUGAUCCAGCAAUGCCGCGUGUGUGAAGAAGGCCUUCGGGUUGUAAAGCACUUUUGUCCGGAAAGAAAUCCUUGACUCUAAUACAGUCGGGGGAUGACGGUACCGGAAGAAUAAGCACCGGCUAACUACGUG